CUUGACGAUCAUAGAGCGUUGGAACCACCUGAUCCCUUCCCGAACUCAGAAGUGAAACGACGCAUCGCCGAUGGUAGGAACCAGUACUAAUUGCCCGUGAGGC
rnacentral:rRNA from 1 species